UGUAUGUACAUGUGUAUGAAUCAUUUGUUUUCACAUUUAAUAUGAAAUCAUGUAUAGGUGCGUAGUUGUUGUUUUUUAUGUUAGCGUAUUGUUUUAGUUUUUGAACAAUUUUCAGCAACAAUAGGAUACUAGAAACAAUAUGAAUGGACGAAUUUAACGCAACCCAGCAUACACACGAAAAACCAUGGAUCAGAUUAUCAAAAACGCAAUUUUCUACUUCCUGUCAACGACAUUUGUAGCCUUGUACGCAUCUUCAUUCAUCUGUUUAAUCAUUCAUCUCCGAAUUUGAAAAUUUGGAAGAAAACAAAGGCAAAAAUAAUGCAAUAAAUGCAAUACUGUCAGAAGGCAAUACACGCAUCGGUGAAGAUCUCUUUAAAAUAGAUUCACGAUAACACCAACAAAACUUGCACCAACUUAUUCCAUUUUGGUGCCAACGAUUCGGCAUAAAAUUAUAGCCCACAAAAUAACACAAAGAACACACACGAAAAACCAUGGAUACGAAUAUCAAAAAUGUAAUUUUAUUCAUCCUGGCGAUGAUAUUUUUAGCUUUGUACACAUCCUCAUUCAUCUGUCUAGUCAUUCAUCUCUGUAAGUUUUUCCAAACUAAGACACCGCAAACCUUGGCAACGAAAAAUCUAACUUUAUAUUGUUUCUUCUUACUCCUGAUCUACGUCUACGCGUUGAUAUUUUUUCCAAGUUAUUACAUAUUCGAUUUCAUGACCAAUUUUCCCAUAAAUUUCUUCUACGCAUAUUUAACAUUUAAUGCUACUUUCGUCAAAUUGAUUAUUGCUCUAGAUAUAUGUUUGUGUUUUCGAAAAACUGCUUUAUAUUUUCACAGACCCACAGGGUCACAGGGCAAGAAAUUUUUAAUUUAUUUUCUCAUCGAUAUAAGUUUACCUUUGUUGUAUACAAUUUUAUUGAAGUUUUUCUGUUUGGAACAAAUAACUUUUAAUGAACUACACGAAUACCUUUUAGAGGCUACUCAGUACAUUCGCACUAUACGUUUGAUUCCAAUAUUUGGAGCAUUAUGGUAUAUCAGACAGGCAAGCAUCGAUAAAACCGAACUGAAGACGAAGUAUUCUUUGCAUAUGCGUCUUUUGAUCAUGCUUGGCGGAUUUUCCACUCUGCUGACAUUUAUACAGUUAUUUUUCAGUCAAUAUAUCGCUGGACAACGUUGGUAUGACGGUUGGGAAAUUAUAUAUUUCUUGGGUACUGUUCUGGAAGGGGUCGUUAUUGGAGCAUGUUUCACGUUUAAGAAAGAUUCGUUUCAAUCUUCGUCUAAAGCUAUUGCCACCGCCCCUGCUUUCAUCCCCAUUGCUACCAGUUGUUAGGACAAAAUUUUGAAGAUCUUACGUUCUCUCAAAAGACUAAGUAAUAAUCUAUACAAUUACAUAAUUAAUGUAGAUACGUCACAAGAGUUUUUCAAUUUUCAAAAAAUAGGAGAGGGAAUAUCAAUAUUGUAGUCGUUGGACGAGUCGAAUCAAUAAAAAAAAUAGGGCAAUACUCGCAUGACAUAGAAUGACCUUUUUUUGAAUUAAUUUUGAAACGAUUUUUAAGGGGACAUUGAGUAAUUUGAUUUCUACACGAUUUUCGCCCAACUUCGAAUGUCAUUUUCCCAAAGAGCAUUAACAAAAAUACCUUGAAAGUAAUUCGUCAAUAUCUCUAAAGCUCGAGACAAGCGCAAUUUUUAAUUUCAUCAAGUAUUAAAUUUUCCAGACAGCGUCACGCCAUCAGAACCAAGUUCAGAACCUAAUAAAAAAAACAUUCCCAAAGCAAUUUAAUCGAGUGCUCGUUCUGUAUUUACCAGAAUGACAUUUUUUUCGAUACUUUACAAUGCUUAUAAAAACAAACAAAACAUUCGAUGUAAAUUAAUGCAGUUCUAAAAAGCGCACACCUCUUCAAUUAAGGCUCAAUCAUGCUAAUUACAUACGAAAAGGUCUCUCCAACAGCUAAAAGUCAAUAAAGUCAAUUACAGGAGAGACCGCUUAUAAUUAAGUAGAAAUACAAACAGUUUUAAUGAUAAUUUAGAAUAGACGUUUUCAUUAUUUGUUUUAACACAUUCGUAACAUUAUCUCAAGUUUUAUAGUCUUUUUGUCAUACUUAGAUAUCUAUCAUUUUGGUUUUUGUAAAAUUUCAAAAAAAAAAAAAAAUCAACAACCGAUGUGAAAUUUUAAUGCAUGACUUUUAUACACAGUGAGUAUAUAUUUUGAAAGAUUUAUUGGAGUAUAAAUGGCCAUUAAUACCUAAGUAGGUACGUAUUAUUUGUAGCUCGAUCAUAUUAUUAAAUAAUGUUUUUCGAUAAAAAAUAAAAAAAGUUCACUUUA